UGUAAAUGUGACAACACACUCAUAUCCUUUUAUUUUCAUCUUUUAAUCUCACAGUAGCUGCAGUGAUUCUGCUCCUGUUGUGUAGAUGGAACUGCCAUUCACUGACUUAGAACUGAGCUUCAUCAUCGUUGCCUUCAUCAUCUUCUCCUUAUUCAGCACGGCUUCAAUCUGCAUCCAGUCACACGGACCCCAGUCAGAAAGAGAUUUGUAUGAAGCAAAGGAGUCAAGAACGUUUAACAGAAAGGAAAGAGUCAUCGGAAAGGAAGCUCAACAGAUGCCAUGAGGUCAGGACUCAAUUUGCUGGUAUUCAUUGUACAAUGAAGUUUUUACAAGAACAAAAGAGAGACAGAACACAAAAUGGAAACCGAACACAUUCAUACUGUGGCCAUUGUCCUCUGACUUUGCACUCAGGGUGGGAUACUCAAAUACUGUUAUCAACAGAAUA